rnacentral:rRNA from 1 species
GACGAACGCUGGCGGCGUGCCUAACACAUGCAAGUCGAACGGAACUGUUUUGAAAGAUUUCUUCGGAAUGAAUUUGAUUUAGUUUAGUGGCGGACGGGUGAGUAACGCGUGAGUAACCUGCCUUCAAGAGGGGAAUAACAUUCUGAAAAGAAUGCUAAUACCGCAUGACAUAUCGGAACCACAUGGUUUUGAUAUCAAAGAUUUUAUCGCUUGAAGAUGGACUCGCGUCCGAUUAGUUAGUUGGUGAGGUAACGGCUCACCAAGACCGCGAUCGGUAGCCGGACUGAGAGGUUGAACGGCCACAUUGGGACUGAGACACGGCCCAGACUCCUACGGGAGGCAGCAGUGGGGGAUAUUGCGCAAUGGGGGCAACCCUGACGCAGCAACGACGCGUGAAGGAUGAAGGUUUUCGGAUUGUAAACUUCUUUUAUUAAGGACGAAAAAUGACGGUACUUAGUGAAUAAGCUCCGGCUAACUACGUG